CCUAUCAAGUCCGCCGGUUAGUUGUUUAAUACAAUUUAGUCAACCAACUACUAGGGUGGAUCAGCAGGACACCAAAAGUAUAUGAUCAGGGGUUUACGCGCGUCGAAAAAGUUCUCUUUUCUUUAAAUGUUAAGUUUUUAAUUGCAAUAAGCAAUAUUUUAUUAAAAAUGCGAUAUAUACGUGUAUAUGAACUGUUAUGACAAAAUGAUGGCUAAAAAUUCAUAAAAAUGCACUAAUUCAAUGUUAUUAUAAUAUCAGAAUGAUACGAACGGAACAACUGAAGCAAAAUAUAUAAAAAAUUUUGAAAUUUUUCAUUGUUGCUUUACUUAAGGACUAAAUAUGUACUACUCAAAUAAAUGAUAGCACUGGCACAUUGAUUAAAGCAAUAUGUAAAAUCUCAAAUUCAAAAUUCUAUACUCGAGUGCCACAGUAGUUAGGAUUUUAAAUGAAAUGUAGCAACGCGUACAUACGUAUAGCACCAUGAAAUGGGUGUCGCGCUUCUAAUACAUAUUUUAAUUUGGUUCGAUAAUAAGAACUAAAUUUGUGAAAUGUUAGUCACCGCUUUAAUAAAUUAUCUACCAGAGCGGAACCAAAGCCCAUAUAAUAUCUUAAGGUGGUAACUAACAAUCAAAAAGGCACGAGAACAACGCGAGAUACUAUCUCUAUGCAACAGUUUUAGAAGAUGUUAAGUUAGAAACCCACCACCAAUUUAUUAUACUCCAUUACUAAGAUAAGAAUGAAAUUAGUUUUGUUUGAGAAGUCUAGUAAUGUCGUAGUCUGAAAGCUGGCCGACCUGCAACAAAGAGAGAAUUGCUCUCAAGCUAAAGAUUAACAAGAUAGAAUAACACAAAGGUAGAACUUCGUGCAAGUUUCCACCGUAAUUAACAAACAAAAUGUGUAUUCAAUUAAUUAUUAAAAACAAACAGAAAUUCCAGUAACUUGACCACGAUGGUUGUAGACGAAACAUAGAAGGUGCUUAUACUUUCGGUCGUCGGUGAAACCACUGUGCGUAAGAUCUUGUAAUACCGGAUUAGAAUGUUAGAUGUAAAAACAACACAUCAAUCACAAAAAAAAA